UACGGAGGGUGCAAGCGUUAUCCGGAAUUAUUGGGUUUAAAGGGUGUGUAGGCGGACAAUUAAGUCAGAGGUGAAAUAUCAUAGCUUAACUAUGGUGCUGCCUUUGAUACUGGUUGUCUUGAGUUCUGUAGAGGUAGGCGGAAUUUAUAAUGUAGCGGUGAAAUGCAUAGAUAUUAUAAAGAACUCCGAUUGCGAAGGCAGCUUACUGGACAGAAACUGACGCUGAUGCACGAAAGUGUGGGUAGCGAACAGG
rnacentral:rRNA from 1 species